GCACAGGCCCCUUUAGGGGCCAUCGAAUUCUUAGGAAUGGGUCUAG
rfam:Helianthus annuus linkage group 2, whole genome shotgun sequence.